GAGAGAGGCUCGACAGCAAUAGGAACUGCUAAUUCUUAUCCCCUCGGUUAAACCCCGAGGCUCCCUCG
rnacentral:tRNA from 1 species